GGCAACUUGCCAGAGUGGUCAAUGGGUGAGACUUGAACUACAACCUAGGCAAUCUCAUGGGCUCCGCCCGCACAGGUUCGAACCCUGUAGUUGUCG